CGCCCAAAUCUGGGGCAGCCGCCGCGGUUACACCACUGUGGGUCAAAUUGACUUCUUUCGGCGUAAAGCGUGCUUAAAGCCUAAAAUUUCUUGGAAUUAAACUGAAACUAAGCCGUGACACGCUUGUUACUCAAGAAAACCAAAAACGAAAGUUAUUCCAAUUUUCUCAACUUGAAUUCACGAUAACUAGGAAACAAACUGGGAAUAAAUACCCCACUAUGCCUAGUCGUAAACUUUAACUUACCCCAACAUCGCCCGGGAACUACGAGCUAAGCUUAAAACCCAAAGGACUUGACGGUACCCCAUAUCCCCCUAGAGGAGCCUGUCCUAUAAUCGAUAACCCCCGUUUAACCUCACCAUUUUUUGCCAAUCAGCCUGUAUACCUCCGUCGUCAGCUUACCACGUGAGCGUCAGUGAGCUUAAUGUUUUUCCAACUAUACGUC
rnacentral:rRNA from 1 species